AGUGCAUCAAAAUCACCACGUCCAAAAUCACCACAUCAAAAAUCGGUCCGUCCAGAAUCGGCACAUCCAAAACUGGCACCUCAAAAUCGGCGCAUCAAAAUCGGCCCGUCCAAAAUCACCACAUCCGAAAUCAGCCCACCCAGAAUCGGCACGUCAAACUUGACGCAUCAAAAUCAGUACAUACAAAAACUGGCACGUAAAAUUGGCCUGUCCAAAAUCAACCCAUCCAAAAUUGGCACCUCAAAAUCGGUGCAUCAAAAUUGGCCCAUCCAAAAUUGCCCUGUCCAAAACUCACACAUAAAAUCAGCCCACCCAAAAUCAUCACAUCCAAACUGGCCCUUCCAAAAUCUGCCUGUUCAAAUUCAGCCCAUCCAAAAUUUGGCCCACCCAUCCAAAAUCAGCCCAUCCCUAACCGGUGGUCUCAUUAGCAGGGGGCACAAGGAGGGCACUGUGAGAAGACAAAGGGUGACGGGUAUAUAUUGAACCACAGGAGGUUUUGUUGCCCCACGAGGAACGACUUUACAGUGAGGUGACAGAGCACAGGGACAGGCUGCACAGGCUGGUUGUGGAGUCUCCUGCUCCGGAGAUAUUCAAACCCUCCUGGAUGCCAUCCUGUGUUACAUGCUCGGGGUGACCCUGCUGGGCAUGGGUUUGACUGGGGGAUCUCCAGAGGUCCCUUCCAACCUCGACAAUUUCAUGAAUAAGCCCUGAGCACCCCUGCUGGCAGCUCAAACCCAGAACCACCUCUGCUCUCCCAAGCAGCUUUAGCCAUGCCCUCCCAGCAACUAAAACCAUCUCAGAGAACCUGGCUGGCAACCUCUGGUUCCACAUCCCAGCCUCUCUAUUUGAAGGAAAGGACGUGCUUCAGGGGCACGACUCCUGAGAGACAGCUGGCACACGGUUGCACACGCAUUAGGAUGCGGCAGCGAGGAACAGGCAAUGCCGUGUUGGACGGUGCACAGGAAAGCAUAACGACACAGGCGAAGGCGGCGAGCAUCUGCCGCACAUUUGCAAAGAAGAGUGAUAAAUGGAAAGGAGCUCAAAGAGCCACAACUGAAGGAAUCAGCAGCCCGGAGGCAUUACAAAAAGAAAGAAAAGAUUCUGAAUAUAAUAGGUGGAAUUGGGAUCCUUGUAUUUCCUAG
rnacentral:lncRNA from 1 species